AGUCAAUAGAUACCCGGUAGUCCACGCCCUAAACGAUGUCUACUAGUUGUUGGUGGAGUAAAAUCCAUGAGUAAACGCAGCUAAACGCGUGAAGUAGACCGCCUGGGGAGUACGGUCGCAAGAUUAAAACUCAAAGGAAUUGACGGGGGCCCGCACAAGCGGUGGAUUAUGUGGAUUAAAUUCGAUGCAACGCGAAAAACCUUACCUGGCCUUGACAUGCCACUAACGAAGCAGAGAUGCAUUAGGUGCCCGUAAGGGAAAGUGGACACAGGUGCUGCAUGGCUGUCGUCAGCUCGUGUUGUGAGAUGUUGGGUUAAGUCCCGCAACGAGCGCAACCCUUGCCAUUAAUUGCCAUCAUUUAGUUGGGCACUUUAAUGGGACUGCCGGUGACAAACCGGAGGAAGGUGGGGAUGACGUCAAGUCCUCAUGGCCCUUAUGGCCAGGGCUUCACACGUAAUACAAUGGUCGGUACAGAGAGUUGCCAACCCGCGAGGGGAGCUAAUCUCAGAAAGCCGAUCGUAGUCCGGAUUGUUCUCUGC
rnacentral:rRNA from 1 species